AAGAAUUUAGUUUAAAUAAAACAUUAACUUGUCAAGUUAAAAAUAUACUAAGUAUAAUUCUUU
rnacentral:tRNA from 1 species